GACACAGCUGAAAGAGAUUGACCCACAACCACUCUAGGGGCCAUCACCUGCCCUUCUUCAGUCCUGGGCGUGAAGGUAGAUUUCUCCCCUAGCCUGUGCGGGAGAGGAGCCCUGGUUUUUCUAACAAGGACUACUGUAGGUUCGCCGAGUUCGAGGGACGCUACGUAUGCAGCGCCUACGCCCGGACACAGGCUUCCGCGUUACCGACACCGCGUGGGGGAGGAGGGCAAGACCCGAGGCUUGCAGAGAUGGGGGGUGCACGGUGGCCACAGUAGGGAAGGUGCGGAGCAUGAUGGUGCUCUGUAGGAGCGCAGACGCUGAAAGGCGCGCUGCUGUGGCUGGGAGAAGAGCGGAGCCAGGAGUUUGUUCCCAAUAUCUUAGUGCUAUGGCAAAAGAAGGGGGAGGAGUAAUUGUGGGGCCCCCCACACACCCGCUGCGGCGAUACACUCACCCUCGCCAAAGUCCUUCCGGAAGUCUAAGUUCGAAGAUGGCGCCGCCUGUCUGGUCGCGGUCUUAUGACGAAAUCUUGUUAGCUGCUCUUCACUGACGCCCCCACCCCAGUGCACAAGAGAUGGGGUCUCGUUAUGUUGACCAGGCUGGUCUUGAACACCUGACCUGAAGUGAUCCUCUUGCCUCAGCCUCCCAUAGUGCUGCGAUCACAGGUGUAAGUCACUGAGUUUGGCCAUUAUUCCAUUUCUGUACACAAAAACCUUUCUCAUUCUGUGCUAUAACUAGUUAGCAUUUAAUUGGGUGGAUGUGGUAUAACUAGUGCCUUGUUGAUAUUGAUGCAUAUUUACAUGGUUUUGCUGUUAUAAACAAUGGUCCCUUGCUAUUAUAAAUCACACUGCUAUAAGUAACCUUGCAUCUAAAUUACUUCAAAUGUGUAACUAUAUGGGUAGGAUAAUUUCUAGAAGUGGAAUUGUGAACCAAAGUUUUAGGUGCAUUUGUAAUUUUGAUUUAUAACCAAUCUUUUCACUGAUCUACUUCUCUGCCUCUAAUUUCUACUAGGUGUUUGUUUGUUUGUUUGUUUGUUUUGAGACAGGGUCUUGCUCUGUCACCCAGGCUGGAGGACAGUGGUGCAAUCACGGCUCACUGCAGCCUCAACCUGCCACCUCAGCCUCCUGAAUAGUUGGGGUGUGUGGCAGGUGUAUACCACCACUUCCAGGUUUUUUUGUUGUUGUUGUUUAAUAGAGAUGAGGUCUUGCUAUAUUGCCCAGGCAGGUCUCACACUACUGAGCGCAAGCGAUCCUCCUGCCUAUGCCUCCCAAAGUGCUGGGAUUACAGGUGUGAGUUGCCAUGCCUGGCCCGGUUAUCUUUCUAAAGCAUAAAGCAACCCUGUUGAUCCUCUGCUUAAUUUUGAUGAUUAAGUAGUAUGUUCAAAAUAUAGAAAUCCAUGUAUUGAUAAUGAUCUUUUAAAAAAAGUAAAAGCCAAAAUAUCAGCUACUCAUCCUACACCAUUGAAAGUAGUGACCAUUAAACUGCUCUACCUCUACCUCCACCUCUCUACCUCUCUACCUCUCUACCUCUACCUCUACCCACGGUCUCCCUCUCUUUCCAUGGUCUCCCUCUCAUGUGGAGCCGAAGCUGGACUGUACUGCUGCCAUCUCGGCUCACUGCAACCUCCCUGCCUGAUUCUCCUGCCUCAGCCUGCCGAGUGCCUGCGAUUGCAGGCACGCGCUGCCACGCCUGACUGGUUUUGGUGGAGACGGGGUUUCGCUGUGUUGGCCGGGCCGGUCUCCAGCCCCUAACCGCGAGUGAUCCGCCAGCCUCGGCCUCCCGAGGUGCCGGGAUUGCAGACGGAGUCUCGUUCACUCAGUGCUCAAUGGUGCCCAGGCUGGAGUGCAGUGGCGUGAUCUCGGCUCGCUACAACCUACACCUCCCAGCCGCCUGCCUUGGCCUCCCAAAGUGCCGAGAUUGCAGCCUCUGCCCAGCCGCCACCCCGUCUGGGAAGUGAGGAGUGUCUCUGCCUGGCCGCCCAUCGUCUGGGAUGUGAGGAGCCCCUCUGCCUGGCUGCCCAGUCUGGAAAGUGAGGAGCGUCUCCGCCCGGCCGCCAUCCCAUCUAGGAAGUGAGGAGUGCCUCUUCCCAGCCGCCAUCACAUCUAGGAAGUGAGGAGCGUCUCUGCCCGGCCGCCCAUCGUCUGAGAUGUGGGGAGCGCCUCUGCCCCGCCGCCCCAUCUGGGAUGUGAGGAGCGCCUCUGCCCGGCCGCGACCCCGUCUGGGAGGUGAGGAGCGUCUCUGCCCGGCCGCCCCGUCUGAGAAGUGAGGAGCCACCCCAUCUGGGAAGUGAGGAGCAUCUCCGCCCGGCAGCCACCCCGUCCGGGAGGGAGGUGGGGGGUCAGCCCCCCGCCCGGCCAGCCGCCCCGUCCGGGAGGGAGGUGGGGGGGUCAGCCCCCUGCCCGGCCAGCCGCCCCGUCCGGGAGGUGAGGGGCGCCUCUGCCCGGCCGCCCCUACUGGGAAGUGAGGAGCCCCUCUGCCCGGCCACCACCCCGUCUGGGAGGUGUGCCCAACAGCUCAUUGAGAACGGGCCAGGAUGACAAUGGCGGCUUUGUGGAAUAGAAAGGCGGGAAAGGUGGGGAAAAGAUUGAGAAAUCGGAUGGUUGCCGUGUCUCUGUAGAAAGAAGUAGACAUGGGAGACUUUUCAUUUUGUUCUGCACUAAGAAAAAUUCUUCUGCCUUGGGAUCCUGUUGAUCUGUGACCUUACCCCCAACCCUGUGCUCUCUGAAACAUGUGCUGUGUCCACUCAGGGUUAAAUGGAUUAAGGGCGGUGCAAGAUGUGCUUUGUUAAACAGAUGCUUGAAGGCAGCAUGCUCGUUAAGAGUCAUCACCAAUCCCUAAUCUCAAGUAAUCAGGGACACAAACACUGCGGAAGGCCGCAGGGUCCUCUGCCUAGGAAAACCAGAGACCUUUGUUCACUUGUUUAUCUGCUGACCUUCCCUCCACUGUUGUCCCAUGACCCUGCCAAAUCCCCCUCUGUGAGAAACACCCAAGAAUUAGCAAUAAAAAAAUAAAUUAAAAAAU
rnacentral:lncRNA from 1 species